rnacentral:rRNA from 1 species
ACUCAAAUGAAUAGACGGGGGCCCGCACAAGCAGCGGAGCAUGUGGUUUAAUUCGAAGCAACGCGAAGAACCUUACCAGGACUUGACAUCCUAAGAAUUCUUGAGAGAUCAGGAAGUGCCCUUCGGGGAACUUAGAGACAGGUGGUGCAUGGUUGUCGUCAGCUCGUGUCGUGAGAUGUUGGGUUAAGUCCCGCAACGAGCGCAACCCCUGUUGUUAGUUGCUAACAUUAAGUUGAGCACUCUAACGAGACUGCCGAGGUUAACUCGGAGGAAGGUGGGGAUGACGUCAAAUCAUCAUGCCCUUUAUGUCCUGGGCUACACACGUGCUACAAUGGCUACUACAGAGAGACGCAAGACCGCAAGGUGGAGCAAAUCUUAAAAAGUAGUCCCAGUUCGGAUUGUAGGCUGCAACUCGCCUACAUGAAGCCGGAGUUGCUAGUAAUCGCAGAUCAGAAUGCUGCGGUGAAUACGUUCCCGGGCCUUGUACACACCGCCCGU